CAGGGAGCAUACAGAUGAGUUGAUAAAACUCCGUGGGCAAAAUGACCACCUCUUUACCGGGGCCAAAAACACUGCCACAGUCGGAUGGAGAACAAUCCUGCAAAAAACGGGUCUGGAGGGUGAAGUUGAGCCACAACAGGCCAAAAAAAGUGGGACAACUUGGAAAAAAAAUACAAAGAAUGCAAAGAUCCAGGGACAGGGCAGGGGG